GGAAUAUUGGACAAUGGGGGAAACCCUGAUCCAGCAAUGCCGCGUGAGUGAAGAAGGCCUUCGGGUUGUAAAACUCUUUCAGUUGGGAAGAUAAUGACUGUACCAACAGAAGAAGCACCGGCUAACUUCGUGCCAGCAGCCGCGGUAAUACGAAGGGUGCUAGCGUUGUUCGGAAUCACUGGGCGUAAAGAGCGCGUAGGCGGAAAAUUAAGUUAGACGUGAAAGCCCUGGGCUUAACCUAGGAUGUGCGUUUAAGACUGGUUUUCUUGAGGUAAGAAGGGGAGAGUGGAAUUCCUAGUGUAGAGGUGAAAUUCGUAGAUAUUAGGAGGAACACCAGUGGCGAAGGCGACUCUCUGGUCUUUACCUGACGCUGAGGCGCGAAAGCGUGGGGAGCAAACA
rnacentral:rRNA from 1 species